UACGUAGGGUGCAAGCGUUGUCCGGAAUUAUUGGGCGUAAAGAGCUCGUAGGCGGUCUGUCGCGUCGGAUGUGAAAACCCAGGGCUCAACCCUGGGCCUGCAUUCGAUACGGGCAGACUAGAGUUCGGUAGGGGAGAUUGGAAUUCCUGGUGUAGCGGUGGAAAUGCGCAGAUAUCAGGAGGAACACCGGUGGCGAAGGCGGGUCUCUGGGCCGAUACUGACGCUGAGGAGCGAAAGCGUGGGGAGCGAACAGG
rnacentral:rRNA from 1 species